AGUGAACGCUGGCGGUAGGCCUAACACAUGCAAGUCGAACGGCAGCACAGUAAGAGCUUGCUCUUACGGGUGGCGAGUGGCGGACGGGUGAGGAAUACAUCGGAAUCUACUUUUUCGUGGGGGAUAACGUAGGGAAACUUACUCUAAUACCGCAUACGACCUACGGGUGAAAGCAGGGGAUCUUCGUACCUUGCGCGAUUGAAUGAGCCGAUGUCGGAUUAGCUAGUUGGCGGGGUAAAGGCCCACCAAGGCGACGAUCCGUAGCUGGUCUGAGAGGAUGAUCAGCUACACUGGAACUGAGACACGGUCCAGACUCCUACGGGAGGCAGCAGUGGGGAAUAUUGGACAAUGGGGGCAAGCCUGAUCCAGCCAUACCGCGUGGGUGAAGAAGGCCUUCGGGUUGUAAAGCCCUUUUGUUGGGAAAGAAAAGCAGCAGGUUAAUACCCCGCUGUUCUGACGGUACCCAAAGAAUAAGCACCGGCUAACUUCGUG
rnacentral:rRNA from 1 species